rnacentral:rRNA from 3 species
GGACUACUGGGGUUUCUAAUCCCGUUCGCUCCCCUGGCUUUCGCGUCUCAGUGUCAGAAAACGUCCAGGACCUCGCUUUCGCCACGGGCGUUCCUUCCGAUCUCAACGCAUUUCACCGCUCCACCGGAAGUUCCAGGUCCCCCUACGUCCCUCCAGGACGGUCGUAUCGGCGCCCCUUCCCCGGUUGAGCCGGGGGAUUUCAACGACCGACGUGCCGUCCCACCUACACGCGCUUUAAGCCCAGUGAUUCCGAAUAACGUUCGCACGGUUCGUCUUACCGCGGCUGCUGGCAC